AAUGCCAUAUGGAAAAUGCCUCCUCGGCAGGUUUUUCCAGCCAACAUCUAUUGUUCAGCAUAGGUUUAGUUUAUCUGACUGACAACCUCCCUGGUAUACAGCAUGUCAAUCUCUUUAAAGGCACAGGCAGGAAUCUGAAAGGAUGGUCUAGAAGCCUGAAAACUGGUCUGGUAUCCAGGAGCUCCUGACCUCUAAUCUUGGCUCUGUCCCAUCACCCAGCAUGCCCUUGAGAUGAGUUCAGCCUGGAAGAUAUCCUGCUGCUGAGGGUGACCUGGGAAGCAAAGGAGGGUCUUCUACAACAAUGUGGCUUCCGCCCUGACCCAUAUGCAGCUUGCCUGUGUGCAGCAUUGGUCCCUUCGCCCGUCAUGGCACAGUGGUGCGGACAUGUUAGCCUUACUGGGACAAGGAGCACAGUAGCUUUGCCAAGGAACCUGCGCAAGCGGAUUGCCCAGCUUCUGCAUGAGACCUUUGAAGAGAUUACUGAGGCCGAUUACCGCGAGGUGAGAGAGAACAUCAACGCCUUAUUCCACAUCUAGGCAUGCAUGCAGCCCUAACCCUCCUUGCCCCAAGAGCCGGCA